rnacentral:rRNA from 1 species
UACGUAGGCAGCGAGCGUUGUUCGGAAUUACUGGGCGUAAAGAGUGUGUAGGCGGUGCUCUAAGUUCGGUGUGAAAUCUCCCGGCUUAACUGGGAGGGUGCGCCGGAAACUGGAGUGCUCGAGCGUGGGAGAGGAAAGCGGAAUUCCUGGUGUAGCGGUGAAAUGCGUAGAUAUCGGGAGGAACACCUGUGGCGAAAGCGGCGCACUGGACCAUAACUGACGCUGAGGCGCGAAAGCUAGGGGAGCAAACAGG